CUAAUGACAAGUUCCGCAAGUGCUGUCGUUGUGUGAUUCGUCGAAAGUACAUUAAAUUUGAUAAGAUAGACGCAUUGAACCGCAAUAGUGUCUCUAAUGAAUUUUUCUAUAAAUAUCAAAAACGUUACAUGGACAAUUCAUCAGACAAAAAAGUAAACUGUAUUUCUUCAAAAUGAUAUCGAAAGUCUUAGUAAUAUUUUUUGCAGUCUUCGUGACUCUAGCUGUACUCAUGGAGGUUGAGGCUUAUGGUAAAUGUAUCAAACCAAGCUAUGAAUGUCUUGAUGAUCGUCAGUGCUGCUCCAGACGUUGUGCACCUUCAUUUUUACCGGAUAUGAAAGCAUGUUAUUAAUCAUCACCACAUGUGCAAAAAUACUCUAGUAUAACAAAAAAAAAAAAAAUGUUUAAAAUGAGUAUACUUAUUUCCUGUUAUUGUCGAUAAAAUAAAAACAUAUAACGAAAAUAUUCAA